CCAGACUCCUACGGGAGGCAGCAGUGAGGAAUAUUGGUCAAUGGCCGGGAGGCUGAACCAGCCAAGUCGCGUGAGGGAAGACGGCCCUACGGGUUGUAAACCUCUUUUGUCAGGGAGCAAGGUGCAGGUCGGGACCUGCUGUGAGAGUACCUGAAGAAAAAGCAUCGGCUAACUCCGUGCCAGCAGCCGCGGUAAUACGGAGGAUGCGAGCGUUAUCCGGAUUUAUUGGGUUUAAAGGGUGCGUAGGCUGUGAGGUAAGUCAGCGGUGAAAUGCCCCCGCUCAACGGGGUGAAGUGCCAUUGAUACUGCCUUGCUGGAAUGCGGAUGCCGUGGGAGGAAUGUGUGGUGUAGCGGUGAAAUGCAUAGAUAUCACACAGAACACCGAUUGCGAAGGCAUCUCACGAAUCCGCGAUUGACGCUGAUGCACGAAAGCGUGGGUAUCAAACAGGAUUAGAUACCCGAGUA
rnacentral:rRNA from 1 species